rnacentral:rRNA from 1 species
AAUCUUGGACAAUGGGCGCAAGCCUGAUCCAGCCAUGCCGCGUGAGUGAAGAAGGCCUUAGGGUUGUAAAACUCUUUCGCCGGAGAAGAUAAUGACGGUAUCCGGAGAAGAAGCCCCGGCUAACUUCGUGCCAGCAGCCGCGGUAAUACGAAGGGGGCUAGCGUUGUUCGGAAUUACUGGGCGUAAAGCGUACGUAGGCGGAUUUGUAAGUAGGGGGUGAAAUCCCCAGGCUCAACCUGGGAACUGCCUUCUAGACUGCAUGUCUUGAGAUCAGGAGAGGCGAGUGGAAUUCCGAGUGUAGAGGUGAAAUUCGUAGAUAUUCGGAGGAACACCAGUGGCGAAGGCGACUCGCUGGACUGAUACUGACGCUGAGGUACGAAAGCGUGGGGAGCAAAC